AUAUUAAUAAUACCUCAGGAUUUGCAGUGAUAACUUGGUAUAUCUACUAUACGCCCAUUAACUAAAAUAUAUCUUUGGUUAUCUAAUUGGCGGGCUGUGGGAAGCCAUACCCAAUCGAAAAAGGAUGUUAUCCAAACGCAUUUCAAGUAAUUGUAUUAAAACUUGACCUGUUGACCCCUUAACUUUUCCGGCGAUAGGAACGUAUUUAAGUAAUUGUCGUUCUGUAAGACCAUAGUGAAAACGCAAUUUUUGUUUUUCUUCUAAACGAAUACGAUAUUGAGAUUUUUUCCCGGAAGGUGUGUGUGUAUAUAUAUAUUG
rnacentral:lncRNA from 1 species